AAUUAAGAUUGUACUAAUAUACCCUUAUAACCCCACUUAAAAAUUAUAAUAAAUAAAUAAGCUUAUAAAAAAUAAUUUUCAAAGACUGGCGUACAAUCUCAAACUUUUCAUAACCCCAACUCAAAUAAUUCCAACUUAUUUUUGUAGCCCCCACUAAAAAUUUAAGAACAUGAAUCAGAAUAAUGGAGAAGAACAUAAAUACUUUUGUAGCCCCUCCCUGGCCGCCAUACGCUCGUCGGCACGCCGGAGCCGCUCAUGGGCCUCAGACCCAAGGGCGAGCGGACUACCGCCAAAUUCUCCGCACCAAAAAGGGCUUUCGUGGGAUACGGUGUGACGCCGUCGAAUCGCUGAGGAUUUUGAAGCCGGUGCCCUUGGAUUUUGAUCAGUGUACGCCGGUGAAGGACAGGCCUGUCGUCGAGUGCGGUGAAAUUCUCCGGGAAUUGUUUGAUGUCGCCGGCGAUCAGAGGGCGGGCGAUGAGGGAUGGGAGCGCCGUCAGGUCCUCGGCCGACGGCGCUCUCCUAUCGAAAAUGAUGGAGACGCCGAUGAUGAGGAAGAGCUGCGUCAUCACGCCCUCUGCGUAUAAUACUCUCGAAGCAGAAGGUGAAGCCGGUGAAGUUGCGGGAGCCGUUGGUGUCCCCAUUUGGGCCCGAAACGAUGGCGAAGCCGUGUCUGGGGCGGAGGCCGCUGCCGCCCAGCAAGAGAAGCUGUCGGAUUUCGAUUGGUUUAAGCUGUCGCCGACUCAUAAAAGGGCGUGAAGCCGCUCCAGGCGCCCGGACCAUAUGUUCCCGGUUCUGGGCCCGAGCAUGUGAGCUCCAAAGAGGAGAUUCUUGGGGAUCCCAUUGACUAAGGAAGAAAUUCAGGCGCUCAAAGAAAGCAAAUAUGGGUGUGCGCACUCCCGGAACUAGGGUCGAAAGAAGAAGUCAGCCCGGAGUUCCAUUCGUCUCUCACGCCGCUUAAGCAUUUUCUUGUUCAGGAUUUAUAUCCUGAUAAUCACGUGAUCUUACGGGAGAGUUCUCGAUCACCGGCGCUCCAUGAAGGUUUUGAAGUGAAGAAAAAAGGUGACAAGGAGGAGUUCAAAGCAAUUAUUGGUUGUAGAUGGUUUGUUUGGUUCUGUUUUAUCUUUUUUGCUAGAAGUCUAGUUGUAAUCUGCAGCAUAGUUUUGAUUAAUGUGACUAUGGUCUUCUUUUUCCUGCAUGCUGCGUAUGUUCUCGCGAUGUUCUUCUUUUCUCUGGGUCUGUUCUUGCUUUGUUCUCUGUGUAUAAUUAAAAUUUUGAAUUAGAGGCUAUAUAUACUGAUGGAGUUAUUAGAGUUA